rnacentral:lncRNA from 1 species
AAGAACCCCCAUGAAAGCCGCUGGCUGUGGAUAUUAUUCCUGUGGCUGUGUUCUUUCAGAAUCAGACAGCAGACAGGGAGAGAUGAAUUUCUAAAUUAAUAUCAGCUUUGGAAAACUUCUGUAAAGAGACCGUGAUACACUGCCAGCAUCAUUAUGCUUGGGUCCUACCGAAAGAGAAAAAAACCAUUGGGAUGCGAAGUGUCUUGGAAAGAAUGCAGAGUCUACUCUGAGGAGCUUGCAGUACUGAGAUCUACUCCCGCACUAGGCCAUGUUUAUUCAUCAAAUGGAGAAACACUCCCUGUGUCAGAGAUAUUAUCUGCAUUAGUCAUCAGUACAAGUGGUGCAGAGACCUUUCUGUGCUGCAGAGGAGCCUGCAGCACAACCAAGGAAAUGCUGCCAUGUCACUAG